UACGUAAGGACCAAGCGUUGUUCGGAUUUACUGGGCGUAAAGGGCGCGUAGGCGGCUUAACAAGUCACUUGUGAAAUCUCCGGGCUUAACUCGGAACGGCCAAGUGAAACUGUCAAGCUAGAGUGCAGAAGGGGCAAUCGGAAUUCUUGGUGUAGCGGUGAAAUGCGUAGAUAUCAAGAGGAACACCUGAGGUGAAGACGGGUUGCUGGGCUGACACUGACGCUGAGGCGCGAAAGCCAGGGGAGCAAACGGG
rnacentral:rRNA from 1 species